UUCUGGAUGAGAUUACAUUUGGCGUGGUAACUGGCCUUCAGUACAGUGUAUGGCCCCUCCCAGUGUGGGCAGGCAUCAUCCCAUCCUUUGAGGGCCAGAACAGAACAAAAGCAAGCAAAAGAAGGAAUUUUCCUCUUUUUGCUGCCUCGUUCCUUGACCUGGGCCAUCUCCCUUCAUCUCCUUACUGCUGAACUGAAAAUUCAUCAUAACCCCACUGGCUGUCAGAUCUUCAGAGUCAGACUGAUACAUCGAUGGCUUACCUGGGUUUCCAGUUUACACAUGGCAGAUUGUAGGACUUCUCAGCAUCCAUAAUCAUUUCUUUGCACAGUUGCCUGAGUCGCCAUGGAAAAUACCAGCUGCAGAUGCAGCCAGACGAGUGCCUGUGUGAACAUCCAGCCACCAAGUGCUCAGUGGGAAGGAAACUGUAGCUGCCAAAGGAGAAGAAGACAUCGAGGAGGGCCCUCAGUGAAGAGUUUCUUUCCAGAAAGCUCCAAGCACCAUCAUUUGUGCCUCCCACCUGCACCAGUCUGCCUCUCCUCAUCUCCACCUUCACCCUUAAGAGAUCAGCAGUUACAGAAAACAUUAUGUUCCAGGCCACACUGUGCUCUGGUGCUAGCAUGGAGAGGACCAGCAGGAAAAGGCAGAGUUGCAGCCAAGAGUGGACAUGUCCAGUAACACAGGGGAAAACAUCAAAACAUGAUGCGGGCAGAACCUUUGCGAAUGACCACAGCCUGCAGCUGAACCAGCAGGCCCAUUCCCAUCUGCCAGCAGCCACAUAUGCCACCAAGCAGCCCAAGGUUGAGGUCUGUCAGAGCAGAGUCCAAUAGUACAGCUAUCCCCAAGGCUCUCACAUCUGCCCAAGAAGCCAAGAAGUAGACAAAGCUGAGGAGUCCAGGGGAAGAGGUCUCUAGGCAGCCACUGGUUCAGGCUUGAGUAAUCCAUAAUUUAUCUGAACUUUGUUUGCAUUCUGGAAAACGAGACUACUAAAAACUCAUGGGUUUAUUGUAUUAAAAGAGGAAAAAGUGCUUCCUGAUCAUCUUAUAAUUAUGGCAACGCUUAUACAAUUGCUUGGUUAAUCAACAUGGAUUUAUUGUAUUAAAAGAGGAAAAAGUGCUUCCUGAUCAUCUUAUAAUUAUGGCAACGCUUAUACAAUUGCUUGGUU
rnacentral:lncRNA from 1 species